CCUACGGGAGACAGCAGUGAGGAAUAUUGGUCAAUGGACGAGAGUCUGAACCAGCCAAGUAGCGUGAAGGAUGACUGCCCUAUGGGUUGUAAACUUCUUUUAUAUGGGAAUAAAAUGUUCCACGUGUGGGAGUUUGUGUGUACCAUAUGAAUAAGGAUCGGCUAACUCCGUGCCAGCAGCCGCGGUAAUACGGAGGAUCCGAGCGUUAUCCGGAUUUAUUGGGUUUAAAGGGAGCGUAGGUGGAUGGUUAAGUCAGUUGUGAAAGUUUGCGGCUCAACCGUAAAAUUGCAGUUGAAACUGGCAGUCUUGAGUACAGGAGAGGUGAGCGGAAUUCGGGGUGUAGCGGUGAAAUGCUUAGAUAUCACGAAGAACUCCGAUUGCGAAGGCAGCUCACUGGACUGCAACUGACACUGAGGCUCGAAAGUGUGGGUAUCAAACAGGAUUAGAUACCCCUGUAGUC
rnacentral:rRNA from 1 species